UAUUCAUCCAAGGGUGGCAAUGUUUGGU
rnacentral:piRNA from 1 species